rnacentral:lncRNA from 1 species
UGUUGCCCAGACUGGAGUGCAAUGGUACGAUCUCGGCUCACUGUAACCUCUGCCUCCCAGGUUCAAGCAAUUAUCCUGCCUCAGCCUCCCGAGUAGCUGGGGUUACAGGCAUCCGCCACCAUGCCCGGCUAAUUUUUGCAUUUUUAGUAGAGACAGCAUUUUGCCAUGUUGGCCAGGCUGGUCUUGAAGUUCUGACCUCAGGUGAUCUGCCUGCCUCGGCCUCCCAAAGUGCUGGGAUUACAGGCGUGAGCCACCGUGCCCGGCCAAGAAUGACAUUUUCAACUGGAUAGGAGUUUACAAGGAUUUAGUUUAUCCCCAGCUACAGUGACUAUUAUGUCAAAAAUGAUGUUCAUUUCAAGUAUUUCUACAUGAAAAUAUAUAGAAAAAAUAAUGACAUAGUUAUUUAACAUAACAGAGUCAUAAAAUGCAACUCUAGAUGCCCCAGGGUUUGGUCUACUUUCUUGUGAUUUUACAGAAGGAUAAUUUAACUCAACUUGAGUCAUCACACCUUAUUGAGUGCCUUGCCUUUGAUGUUUCUACUUAGGACAUUUCUUUUAGCCCCUGUGGUCUGGUGAACUCCCAUUCCUCCCUCAUGUCUCAGGUUCGACAACAUUGCUUCAUAGGAGCCUUCACAGAUGCUCUCAAAACUGAACUGGAUGAUCUGCCUGUGCUCUCAUUAUCCCUCUGUGUGCUGGUCCCUCUGUCCAUCCCUGUAUCCUCAUAAAUCAUAUUGUGUCCACCAUAAUAUUCCUCAGUCCCCAGCAUGGUGCCCAGCACCUAGUUAGUGUUCAUUCAGUAUUGGCUGAAUGAAAGAACAUGAUGCAUGAAAGAACGAAAUGCAUGAUGGAGGCAUAUAGAUGAAAAAUCUACUUGCAGAAGAUGUUACAAUGACAUUUCUCUUUCAAUGGACCCAGUUUUGGAGAGGGCUGCUUCCUAUGGUUGGGACUGUCCAGCUCAAUGGGACGGAUGGCCUGUGCCUGUGUAUUUCAGAUGAACCAAACUAGAGUCAGAAACACGAGACAGGUGUGGUUCGAACAUUUUUAGUGAGAGCUUGCGAAGGAUGAACUUUAUUCCGGAAGGGCUAUUUAAAUGCCAUUGCUUCACAUGCCCAUAGUUUCUAAAAUUCCAAAGUAACUUCCCAUGGAGUCCGAAUCAAAUUGCCCUGAUGUUUAGUACAACUCAAGAAAAACAGACUUGCUGGUUUCCAGUCACCACCUGGCUUCAAGUCCUGUUACCAAGACACUUAGAAUAAAUCACACAGUGCUUUGUACCUGGCAUGGUAUCAGGAUGGGUCUCCUCUUUUGUAUGAGGCCAGCUUAACACCCACCAUGAGACAGACUCUGCCCCAUCCAUCCUGAAGCUACUUACAGGUGCUCCUUCUAAAGUCCCCAGUGGAUUUCAGUUGCAGAAGCUUCCAUGGAAGCCUGAUCUUCCUUGUAUGCCCCCAUAAUCACAGCGAGAGUGGCUGUUUAUAUAGGAAGGGGUGCAGGCGGGGACUUGGGACUACACUCAGCUUCCAGGGUUGGGCUGGAGGCAGCUGCUUGUGUGUGGACCUCUAGACACAUGGGCAUGAUCUCAUCGGUGGGAAUCUGAUUGUAAGCAACCAAUAAAUGCCUGAGUCACUUGCUUCCCUUCAUUCAAACCCCCUGGCUGAGAAUUCACACUUCCCAUGAAGCAUGUAAAUCACUUCCUUAGUUAAUUAGAUAAUCACUAAUUAAUAUAAUUAGAUAAUCAGUUAAUCACUUCCAAGUUAAUUAGAAGGGAUUGGAAAAGUCACUAAAAACAUCUAAUUAAUUGUCAUCCUGAUACUUU